rnacentral:rRNA from 1 species
CUUGAACGCUGGCGGCAGGCUUAACACAUGCAAGUCGAGCGGAGAUGAGGUGCUUGCACCUUAUCUCAGCGGCGGACGGGUGAGUAAUGCUUAGGAAUCUGCCUAUUAGUGGGGGACAACAUUCCGAAAGGAAUGCUAAUACCGCAUACGUCCUACGGGAGAAAGCAGGGGAUCUUCGGACCUUGCGCUAAUAGAUGAGCCUAAGUCGGAUUAGCUAGUUGGUGGGGUAAAGGCCUACCAAGGCGACGAUCUGUAGCGGGUCUGAGAGGAUGAUCCGCCACACUGGGACUGAGACACGGCCCAGACUCCUACGGGAGGCAGCAGUGGGGAAUAUUGGACAAUGGGGGAAACCCUGAUCCAGCCAUGCCGCGUGUGUGAAGAAGGCCUUAUGGUUGUAAAGCACUUUAAGCGAGGAGGAGGCUACUGAGACUAAUACUCUUGGAUAGUGGACGUUACUCGCAGAAUAAGCACCGGCUAACUCUGUGCCAGCCGCCGCGGUAACAC